UACGGAGGGUGCAAGCGUUAUCCGGAUUCACUGGGUUUAAAGGGUGCGUAGGUGGGCAAGUAAGUCAGUGGUGAAAUCUCCGGGCUUAACCCGGAAACUGCCAUUGAUACUAUUUGUCUUGAAUACUGUGGAGGUCAGCGGAAUAUGUCAUGUAGCGGUGAAAUGCUUAGAUAUGACAUAGAACACCAAUUGCGAAGGCAGCUGGCUACACAAAUAUUGACACUGAGGCACGAAAGCGUGGGGAUCAAACAUG
rnacentral:rRNA from 1 species